GAGGCUUUGGUGGUCUGUUAGUGGUGGAGUGGCGGAUCUGGAUCUAGAUCUGGAUCUGUUGUGUCAUUCUCCGACGAUGAUAGUGGUUUGGAUCUUCUCAGUUUUUUAUAGGUAUGGAUCUGCUCGGUCCCUUGUUGGCAGUGGGGCGGUGAAGAUGUUAUGGGUGUUGGAGCCAUCGAAUGCGUUCUGUGAUUGAAACAGAAGCUUGGUAGGGGGAGUGGGCCUGGGCAUGGGCCUAGAGCAGGGAUCUAUUACUAUCUCUCUUAAUCGCUCUCCCACGGUUUUCAGAAUACGCUUGCGGUAUGUAUGGUCUACGAAAGACAACCCUGAGAUGGUGGUACAGGAGAAUGGCCUUCCAGCAGUAAAUAUCUUUGGCCACUCUAGCAAAUCAUUGUGCCAUUGUGGGUUUUGAAAACAAUCAAGGAGAUGUAUCUGCAACCGCAUCUGCAUAGGCCUGCAGCUUUGGUCAGGUUACAUCGUAUGAUGCGUGAAGAUUUGCCAAAUGGUAUUGUGGAUGAGGUACUGUGAGCACGUUGCCAUUUGCUUUGAAAGAGUUUGCCCAUAUCAAAGAAGGGUUGCGGUUGUGGUGAAGAAAUUUUUCUAUUUCUGGAUGUAUUGGAAAUUUUUAGUUGGUGAAUUUGUUGUAUGAUGCAUUUUUGAAUAUAGUAUAUGGUACAUGAAAUGUAGAGGUGCCAAAUACUAGUAUUUGCUAGUAUUUGGCACCUAUUUUUUUAAUCCAAUUUAAUGAAUUUGCCACUGAUAUUAGUGGAAUUCCGAAGCCACUGAUAUUUGGAUCAGUUGCUUUGGCACUGA